UUUUUUUUUACAUUAUUAUUUAUUAUUGUUUUGAUCAUUGCUAAGUACUCAUUAUUUUCAAUUUUGGUUUGGUGUCUAGGUGUUAAGUAAAUGAUCACUAAUUAAUGUCAUCGUCUUAUACUCUUAUCUAAUAAUAAUUUUUAGGUUUUUUCUUCCCCCAAGCCACGAACAUAAGUCAUCGACUGAAUACUUACCUAUGUUUAAUCUCAUUCAAUCGUUCAAUGAAAUUGGAAUAUUAAAAUGGCCUAUUCAUCUCUUAAACUUAUUUCUGGAAUGUGAUAUGCACUCAUAACCCACCCMUUGUGACGAUUAGGAUUAAGUCUUGAUUUUGGACUUGAACCAAUAAAUCUGUAAAAGUAUGUGACAUCAAGACUAUUGACUCACAAACCAACAG